GUGGCAUAGUGGUUAGAGUGUUUUCUUUGGAUGCAGGAGGUUGUGGGUUCAAACCCCAGUCAAGUCA